UACGUAGGGUGCAAGCGUUAAUCGGAAUUACUGGGCGUAAAGCGUGCGCAGGCGGUUUUGUAAGUCAGAUGUGAAAUCCCCGAGCUCAACUUGGGAACUGCGUUUGAAACUACAAGACUAGAAUAUGUCAGAGGGGGGUAGAAUUCCACGUGUAGCAGUGAAAUGCGUAGAGAUGUGGAGGAAUACCAAUGGCGAAGGCAGCCCCCUGGGAUAAUAUUGACGCUCAUGCACGAAAGCGUGGGGAGCAAACAGG
rnacentral:rRNA from 1 species